ACUCCCUGAUGGAAAAGAAUGAGCGCUAAAACGAGAGAUGCUUAUGUCCCUUUCUACACACGUUUCUCAUUCAUUCAAGCGUUACUUUUCCUCUUUCCUUUCUAUCAAAUCGGGGUUUCCUUUUCUUCCCUCUUCAUCUCCUUAAUAUCGUUAUAAUCAGAGUUUCUUUUCUUCCUCCUUCAUCAUCCUAUGUAAACCCUAAAGGAAUUCACAGCAGUUCUUCAAGGAUUAUUACCGAUUUAUUCUAAUGGAAUGAUGGAUCUUUCAAAUGUGGGUUGUUCUACAAGCAACAGAGUCCCAAUGAUGGUGAAUGCAACGAUGCUGAAGAUAGUCUCAAUCAGAUUUCAAUUGAGAGCAACUGAGCAGAAGUUAGGAUGUGAAGGUUGUUAUACUGACUCAAUGAUGAUGGUGGUCAUGGUUGUGGGAAUCACUUAAUCCUAUCAUUGAAUCUGGAUCACUUAAAGUUAUUAACGUGGAUCAGCUCUGAACUUCGUUGAUCUAGAAUUUAAGAAGAUGGCGAUCAAAAUAUGCGAUCCAGUCGUCUGUACCUAGCGAAGGUGUGUACGAUUAAGUGGGGCCUGGCGUCAUUGUGAGUUUAAAGUUCUUCAUUUUGGUUAAUUUAGUGAUCUUCGUCUGCCAUCUCAAGCAUUCUAUCAGUUUUCUCCUAUCCCUCAUCCUCUGUCCAGAGGAAAAAAAGACAGAUAAUGGUUGACGAUUCUUCGUUGAGGAAACCAAACAGCGAUGGAGAUGAAGACCACAGGCCAAACGCGACCGGAAGAGAAAAAACCAUACUGAUGACGUUACUGGUAGACUUUCCACUUCAUUAAAGCAUCUCCCAAACGCUUUAAUGUUGUAUUCAACAUCGGUACUCCUUCCUUUUUUCUCAAUCACUGUGUUAAGUUUGCUUUUGAGAAAUUAUGUAUGCUUAAUUAAUUAUAUAUUUGUUCGUUAUGAAUGGAAUUGCCGACAUGGUGCCGAUUGAAGGAUUGUUUUCGAUUCGAUUUUACUUGCCUAAUGAACAAGUUCUGUAUUAUCAGACAAUUUUAUUAGUAUAUAUGGCCUUGGAUAGUUGAUUAUAGUGAUAUGUUUAUAGUAUAUAUGUUGUUUAUUUUUCUAAUUUUUCAUUAUAAGGAGGAAUAGGAGAUGAAAAUGCUUCUACAAGGGUGUUGCGUAUGUGCGAAACCUUCUUUGAAGACAACGAGAUCGUUGGAGAACGAAAAGUUAGUUGUUGUACCAAACUCAUCGGACAAGUUCAAAGUUUUCGAGAGGUUAUGUCGGUUCUUUACAAAUCGACUUCAGGGAAUACCACCGCCUUUGACAAACUAUUAGACCACAUGUUUGGUACCACCACUUCGACUAAUCAUCUGAUGUAUCUUAACUUUGUGUUCCAUUUGACCGUCUACACUAUGACUCUUCUGUUAUCUCAAUAAGCAAUUCGUUAUUUUUUUUUAGAUAUUUCAUUUUAGUAAUAUACUUUUAUUGUAAAAUUUAAUACAGUUUGCAACAGGGAGGAAUUUGUAUGCAAAUAGAAAUCCAAAUUGAAAGCAUAGGUAAGUAAGCUUUUAUUCCAUUCAUUAUUUUCCUUUUCUACCAUUAUAAGAUGCAUAUUGUUACUAGAUCAGACCACUUUUCUUUACUAUGAACUGGUCGGUUAUGUUUACAUUUUAUCUCCAACGGGUAAAGUGGGUUGAAAGUUAACAUCUAAUGUUGUUUAUAAACAAGGUUUUCAUAAAUUUGUAAUUUGUAUUUGUAGUUAUACAUCUGUACAUUGUAAAUGUAACUUCAAUAUAUAGGAAUAUUGGAUUUUAAUAAUCCCAACUAUCCGCUGUUGGCCGCCAAUAGUCCCAACUUAAAAAAUAACCACUGACAGUCCCACCUAUUUACACAUUGGCCACCAAUGGGCCCUGACUAACAGAACCCUAACGCCGUUAGUCUCCGGUCGCCGGAAAACCGUUUUUGUCCAUAAAAAGGUUUAUAAAGGUCCGAUCUAAGAUUACAAAGAGGCUUGGGACGAAAAUAUUGAGUUUUCCGGCCAAAAAGUUGAAUUUUUUUUUUGGCAAAAAAGAAGCUUUCCGGCGUAAAAGGAGUUUUUCGACGACUUUAAUAAUUGGGACUUUUACUAUAAAAAGGUUCCCAAAGGUCCAUAAUAAGGUUACAAAGAGGUUCCGGACGAAAAUGUUGAGUUUUCCGGCCAAAAAUGAGUUUUCCGGCCAAAAAUGAGAUUUCCAGCCAAAAAAAGUUUUUCCGGCGACCGGAGACUAAUGGCGUUGGGAUUCUGUUAGUCAGGGUCCAUUGGUGGCCAAUAUGUUAAAAGUUAGGACUGCCAGUGGUUAUUUUUAAAGUUGGGACUGUUGGCGGCCAACAACGAAUAGUUGGGAUUACUAAAAUCCAAUAUUCCUAAUAUAUAUACAUAUUUCUUAUUAUAACUUUUACUUAAUUUCUAUGAUCAAACAUGACCCGAAUUAACCAAUAUUAUAACUUGGGAGAAACUUAAAUACUUAAUCUUCAGACAGCAGACAACAGACUUAUGUCCAGUCAUUGAUGAAGUGGCAACUUUAUUUAGUUAUGCAUUUGUAGUUAAAGUGGCAACUUUAUUUGCACUGCAUUUGUAGAAAGUUUAUUUUAAAUAUUUUAUUCAACUGUGCAUUUUUAUGUGGACGAUGUUGCAGCGUUCUUGAUAGUCACUGACCAUGCAGCGUUCUUGAUAGUCAAUGACCAAAUGGAAUCCUAGGAAACUAAUAACAGCUGAUCUAAGUUUUCGAGUUUGUAAGAUCUAAGUUUUCAGCCGCUUCAGCCAGGUAUGCAACUUGGAUUUUGUUUCUCAUGAGAACUGAUGCACAUUGUGAUGCGGGUAUUUUGAAUGGUGGAGAUCUUUUCUCUUUGCUGAGAAAUUUAAGUUGUUUGAAAGAAAAUGUGACACAACCUUAUAUUGCAUAAUCCGUCAGUUAUAACGUCGUCGUCCUUCUAGAUUACUUUCAUAUGGGUAUGCUCUUAUGAAUUAAGAGUUAAAUCGUUAUCUACAUAUUCAUCUUUUGAUUCCUAAUCCUCAAAACAAAUUGUUGUAGUUACUUCUUUUUUUUUUUAAUUUAUAUAUACUUCGAUUUCUGAAUCAUUGUCGCGCAAUCAUCUACCUAAGCUGAAUUUCCUAUUUUAUAUGGUAUGUUUCUGAGCUAAAAGCACACUUACAUGAGAAGUCCUUUGAUCUUGAGGUAUGUGUUUUUAAAAAACACACACACAUAACUACAUCAUAGACAAGAUAAUAAUUUUAACACCCUAGGGGUAUUUUGGUGAUUUAUUGAAAGAUAUAGUUCUAAUAUGAGACAUAUGCUACUCUCUUUGACUGGUCAAAACAUGAGAUAAUAGAGUACUUAAAGAGUAGCUCAACGAGAAGGUAAGCACCUGGUGCUAAUGUUUUUCCCAUACAACAUUAUGAUUUUUAUCAUGCUUUUGAUUUUUGUAAGGUUUAUGUUUCAUCAAAUCAAUGAAUGUGAAGGACUACAGGAAAAAUAAGUCUCUCAAAAUAUGCGAUUUUAACAUACAAUUGACUUUAACAUAACCUUAAUAAUAUCAAGUUGUAAGCAAAUCUAUCUUUUAAUUAAUAUUAAUAGUUUCCUUUCAAUUUACAUUUAAGUGUCUUAUAUUCUUAUAGAUUCUUUAGAAAUCUAUAACCAGGGGGAAUUUAGAAGCUGGGGUGGGAUUUUGGUUGUUUGGAUUUGUAUGUGGACCUCAAUAGUGCAAGUCCUUAAUUUUUUAUUUGUGGUUAUUGCUUUAUUUUUACAGUUUUGGUCUAUGAUGGUGAGCAUGGGCUUAUCUGAGAGGUUUUAUGAAGUUGUAUUCUGGUUCCGAUUAUUAUAAGCCCUAAUGUUGUAAGCUCAAUGAUGGUGAGCCAAGGAUCGGCUGAAGGCUUCUUGAAUGUGUAAGUUGGUGCUAUGUUGGUUGCUAAGGGAAACUAUUUGUGGGAACGUAUAUUUUAUAUUAUCAACCGGGAACUUCUUAAAGCUUUACCAAUUUGUACGCUUGGCUUUAAGUAAGUUUUGGGCAUUUAUUUGUCGAAUGCCAUUCUGACCUGUUUCUAAGGUUUCUAGAGCAAGCCACAUGUAUGUGCUCUCCUUGCUUUAUCUUCUCAUGGUCGCAUGGCUCUUUUUGCCGACAGACUACCAUUUCCGACCUACUAAUGUCUGAUUUUCAAGACAUAGAACGGUGUUUCUAGAGGUUAUAUUUUAUCAUAAGGCUAUGAUGAGUCAAUACAUUUGAUUAUAAAGUUGAUGAUAUUGCCUUGGCAUGAUAGGGUUCAAGGAUGGUAGUUCAUUACUUGCAACCUUCCCUUCAACCAUGGUGGUAUUGUUGUUUUCUAGACUCUGAGCCUAUCAUAAGCAUAUUUGCCUCGACUAAAGUUUUCGUUUUAACUAUCCGAUGGUGCUUGGCUUUGUUUUGGUUUAAACUAAUAGAACAAACAAGAAAGUAGCGGGGGUUGAGAAGCUUCCGUUGUCUGUUGAGAUCAAACUCUCUCGAUCCAAUCAAACCUAUCGCCCCAAUCUAACAUGCGAAUGCACAACCUACACCUUACAGAUUUCAGCAACUUAAUUAACUCUUCUGUCAAUAGCCACUUCGGGAAAACUUCAUCACCAGAUUACUUUCUUCCAUUUCUGACCUUGGAAUCCAUAUAACCAUCAACAAUUCUAUAAAUCUGCAGGUUCGUGGAGGUUCAGUUGGAUUCAUUGAAUCGAUUUACGGUGUUUUGAAGCAUAUUCGAAUAGUGUGUACUGUUGCACAACAAAUAUGGGCUUUCAUAGAAACCAGGUGCAAGCUAAGCCGAUUUUAUAUUCUUGAGCUUAAAUAUUUGGUUGAUAUACAAAAUAAAUGCCACGGGUCAAGGAAAUGGAGACGCGCAAUAUUAUCGGUCAUGCAGACAGCCCUAUGAAAUUAAAACGUAUGGCUUCCUAUGGGUUAAAAACAGGGCAAAAUGCAAUGCGUUGUCGUGGGAAGAUUGAUGUAAUUUCGAGUUACACUCUAUGGGGGUGUGAUGUAAUGUUUUUAUUUGGUAAACUAUGUAAUAUCUCCGGGUUAACAUUUUUGUUGACCGGUUAAUUUGAAUAAAAUAUUUUGUUGGCCGUUAAAAAAAUAUAUUUUAGUAGUAA